rnacentral:rRNA from 1 species
GACGAACGCUGGCGGCGUGCUUAACACAUGCAAGUCGAGCGGAGCGGCGAACGGGUGAGUAACGCGUGAGUAACUGGCACCCUCUCUGGGAUAACAGUUGGAAACGGCUGCUAAUACCGGAUAGUGGGGGAUGACGCGCGUCCUAUCAGCUUGUUUGUGGGGUAGGGGCCUACCAAGGCGACGAUGGGUAGCCGGCCUGAGAGGGGGACCGGCCACGUUGGGCUGGGAUACGGCCCAAACGCCGACGGGAGGCAGUGGUGGGGAAGAUUGCACAAUGGGGGAAACCCUGAUGCAGCAACGCCGGGUGCGUGAUGACGGCCUUCGGGUUGUAAACCGCUUUCAGCCAUGACGCGGUAGUGGCAGAAGAAGCACCGGCUAACUCCGUGCCAGCAGCCGCGGUAAUUC